ACGAUUUACCGGAUUGCACUCUGAUAGUGCACUGACUUGAAUUCAACCUCAGUUUGAAUUGUUUCAACCGGUCAAACAACUUGCCCCGGUCUGCCAGAUGCCCCUCUCUUGUCUGGGACUUUGCUAUCAAGUCAUAGCAUUCGAUUUCAACUUCAUGACGAAUCAUAUCAUGAAACAAAGUCACCAUGGCUCUCUGAUAAGUAGCACUGGCGUUUCGCUUCUUUAGAGGACAAUCUCCUUU
rnacentral:lncRNA from 1 species